AUAAAGUGGAAAAUGUUGGUGUAGAAAAACAUGGUACGAGAUAACACAAGAAUUAACGCAUGCAAUAAAAAAAAAAAGAAUUAACAGGUGAAACUUCAAAUGAAGUACUCAAAUAAAACCCAGUACAUCUUAUUCCAUUUCAAAAACUAUAAAUUUGGAAAAAUAAUUUUCUCCUAUUUUCUUAAUUUUACCUUUCUGGGUUCCUCUUUGUUCGUGCUCAGAGUUAGAUCUGAGACUUUCAAGAAGUCACACAUUUAUUGAUGCUUAUUGAAAGAGAAAAUGAACUGCAGAUACACAGAGAUAAAUCGCCGGAACUUGAAACUUAGCCGGAGAAGAGAAUAGAUUCCCACAAAUUGUGCUGAAUUUGAAGCUUACCCAGAAAAGAAAAUAUAUUUCUAAAAUCUUUACUCAAGUCUUCAUAGAUUUUAAGAAUGAUUUUCAGAUCUAGAAAGAAAGAGGAAAAAACGAAGUCUUUGGUAAAUAUUACAAAGAGAAAGAAGACGAGAAGAUCCCAUAUGAAAACCCACCAAUUUCCAAGCAGCACACUUAAUUCGGCUCAACUCAAUUGCCUCAGCUGACCACAACAUGCUCACUUCCAAGUAGCUCAAUUAAACCGGCUCAAUUCAAGGUGGCUGAGAUCACAAAUUCGGCUUGUGAACAGUAAAUUCGCAAUUGUCUCUUUUACUUUUAGUUAGAUAUGGAGUAAAAGGCUCACGCGGGGGGCGCAAAUAAUUGCAUUAAAUAGUGGAUUGAAUGUGCUCAUCGUUUAGACUCCCUCUAACCCAUCACCAAAUGGUAUGUCUAAUUCCUGAACACGAAAAUGACAAAUACUUGUUGAACAUAUAGGCUGAUAUGAAAUAAAAUGCAGUUCAUGCACGCAAGACUAAAUAGAUUUGUAGAAGCUUCAAAUAAUAAGGCACUGCCUGACUCACUUUCUAAUCCAUCUUUAUCAUCAUAAAAC
rnacentral:lncRNA from 1 species